UGAUCGGGGGUCGGUGUGCUGAUCGGGGGUCGGUGUGCUGAUGGUUUGAUUGAGUCGGGGGAAAGUGGGUCAGUGGGAAGUUUGUGUUGUUGUUAGGAAGAAGUCGGAGCGGCGCUGCGGGUUGCACAGGAGGAGGUUCGCCCCAGAGAUGAUCCUUGAAGGCGCACAUAGUGCAGACCCGCAGCACAGCUGGAAAGUUUACAGACCAGGCUCAGAUUAUAAUCUAGUGUGUUUGGGACAUCUGGAGGAACGUCUUCUCUGCUGCUGAGGAGGAGCAGCAGGAGCUCCGACCUGCAGCCCAGCGGCACUCCCUCACCCAGGUACACCCUGGGAGUGUCGUCAUCAUUGUUAAUAUUCUUGAUAUUGAAAGUGUGAUGAUGCUGCUUAAAGCUGGGGGAGGGGUCAGCUUGGCUUGUCAUCUGAACUCAGUAAGUUUUGUCUUUGUACGUUUAUUUCAAAUCAGCUUGCGUGGAAGCAGUCUGGACUCACUGAGCGAUGAUUGGCUGCUCUGGUUUCCUGGUGUUUGGUGUUGUCUGUAUGUUUUUCAUGCAGAACAGUAAAAAAAAAAACACUCAAAAUAUUUAAAAAAAACAAAGAAACACAUCUUUGUAAAACUGUGUCCUCAGUGAAAAUGAGCCCACCACACUCCGACUCCUCCUCUGAAGCGAGCCUCCAGCUGGUGAUUGGCUGAAAUAUCUCCUCCACGCUGAUGACACUGUUUACAUCACAGGCGCCCCCGUGUCUGUUUGCCGGUUUGCAGGCAGUCGCUAGGUGCCGGGCAAACUGACUGUCGUUGCUGUUUCAGUCGCUGCAGGGCAGGCGUUGCCACAGAAUGUGUCAGCGGACCUGAUUGGCUGGUGACAAGUGCAACGAGCAGGUGCAUCAAAGGUAACAGGAAGUCCUGAACGCCGUGGAGCUUUAGCAGCAAGCAGAUAGCAGGAAGUGUCCUCCUCCCAGCGCAUCAGCACCAGCGUGUUUCUGUCACAGGUGAACAUUUCAAAAGAAUGAGGUCACCUCAUGGUGGGUGGAGCUUUCUAACACCUGAGCCAAAUACAAGCUGUUCUUCUCUAAACUGUCCACACAGACAGAAGCUGAGGACACGGCGCUUUUCCAAAAAUCAAUCAGAAACAGUGAAUGAUCAGGCUGGACGAGGUUUGGUCAGAGCACCAACCUGGGUCACCUGACUCUGAACACCUGACCCAGAGCCGCACCUGAAAGUUCAUUCUAAAUAAUGGCGUGUGUGUGAUAAACAGGUGUGCAGUGUUAGGCGUGCAGCAGACGUCCAGGUGUGGAGACAAACACCACAUGCUAACCAUGCGUCCAUGUCUCACAGCUCUGUGUGCGCUCUGAGUCUGCCGUGAAUCUUCGAGGCGCUGAGUUGUUGUUGAGCGCGGCGAGUUCAACUUUGAAGACGAGCUCAGACGAAACAAAAGGCAGUAAAAGUUGUCCGCGCUGCAGCUGACAGAUCCUGCGAGCACCUGUGGGACAGGUGCGAUGGAGGGGGUCGGUGCUGCCCGUCCUUCAGCUCUUUAGUCUGAUUGGUUGUAGAACUCUGUGAUGAGUGAGCUGCACUCACCGAGCUCAAUAUCAGAUUAUGAG